rnacentral:tRNA from 1 species
GGUGGCUCAGUUGUAGAGCACUUGCCUUGCAUGCAUGAGGCCCUGGGUUUGAUUCCGCAGCACCA